UGCACACCACACCCCAGCCGCUUCGAACUUCACACACACACACACACACACACCAGACGCCACUACCGUCCGCCGGAAAGGGGAAAGGGUAAAAGGAGAGGCGCCGCUGCCCGGUGGAGAGGGUGCCGGCGAUUGCCGUGGAGGGUGAGGACCGGGAGCAGGAGGGUGAGGUGGCUGAACCACUACUCCUCGGCGCAGAGCAUCCUGGUGGUCGGAGACGGGGAGUUCUCCUUCUCGCUGGCGCUCGCCACCGCCUUUGGCUCCGGCGAGAACAUCGUCGCCACGUCCCUCGACUCCUACGAGGCUCUGACUGAGAAGUAUGAUGAUGCAAAAUCAAAUGUAAGGAAGUUGAAGAAAAUGGGGGCCAAAGUUUUGCACGGUAUCAGUGCGAAAAGCAUGAAGCACCAUUCUUAUCUGGAGACAAGGCAGUUCCAACGGAUUAUCUUUAAUUUUCCUCAUGCUGGGUUCAUAGAAGAUGAGUCUGAGCCAUGUAUGAUAAAGUUGCAUAGGAAGCUGGUGAGGGGGUUCUUUCGUAAUGCGCGACGCCUGCUUCAUCCUGAUGGUGAAAUUCACGUCACGCACAAGACAGGAUAUCCUUAG
rnacentral:rRNA from 1 species